rnacentral:rRNA from 1 species
GAGUUUGAUCCUGGCUCAGGAUGAACGCUAGCGGCAGGCCUAAUACAUGCAAGUCGAACGCUCAGUAGCAAUACUGGGAGUGGCGCACGGGUGCGUAACGCGUACACAAUCUACCUCUAAGCGGGGGACACCUCCUGGAAACGGGGAUUAAUACCGCAUAAUAUGCCGAGGUCGCAUGACUUUGGUAUUAAAGCAGCAAUGCACUUAGAGAUGAGUGUGCGUCCCAUUAGGUAGUUGGUGAGGUAACGGCUCACCAAGCCUAUGAUGGGUAGCCGGUCUGAGAGGAUGGUCGGCCACACGGGCACUGAGACACGGGCCCGACUCCUACGGGAGGCAGCAGUAAGGAAUAUUGGUCAAUGGUGGAAACACUGAACCAGCCAUGCCGCGUGGAGGAAUAAUGUCCUACGGAUUGUAAACUCCUUUUGACGAGGAAGAAAGUGUUAGAGUUAUCUAAUUUUGACGGUACUCGUAGAAUAAGCACCGGCUAACUCCGUGCCAGCAGCCGCGGUAAU